rnacentral:rRNA from 1 species
UGGGGAAUAUUGCACAAUGGGCGCAAGCCUGAUGCAGCCAUGCCGCGUGUAUGAAGAAGGCCUUCGGGUUGUAAAGUACUUUCAGCGGGGAGGAAGGCGAUAAGGUUAAUAACCUUGUCGAUUGACGUUACCCGCAGAAGAAGCACCGGCUAACUCCGUGCCAGCAGCCGCGGUAAUACGGAGGGUGCAAGCGUUAAUCGGAAUUACUGGGCGUAAAGCGCACGCAGGCGGUCUGUCAAGUCGGAUGUGAAAUCCCCGGGCUCAACCUGGGAACUGCAUUCGAAACUGGCAGGCUAGAGUCUUGUAGAGGGGGGUAGAAUUCCAGGUGUAGCGGUGAAAUGCGUAGAGAUCUGGAGGAAUACCGGUGGCGAAGGC